AGCGAACGCUGGCGGCAGGCUUAACACAUGCAAGUCGAGCGGGCGUAGCAAUACGUCAGCGGCAGACGGGUGAGUAACGCGUGGGAACGUACCUUUUGGUUCGGAACAACCCAGGGAAACUUGGGCUAAUACCGGAUAAGCCCUUACGGGGAAAGGAUUUAUCGCCGAAAGAUCGGCCCGCGUCUGAUUAGCUAGUUGGUGAGGUAACGGCUCACCAAGGCGACGAUCAGUAGCUGGUCNGAGAGGAUGAUCAGCCACAUUGGGACUGAGACACGGCCCAAACUACCUACGGGAGGGCAGCAGUGGGGAAUAUUGGACAAAUGGGCGCAAGCCUGAUCCAGCCAUGCCGCGUGAGUGAUGAAGGCCCUAGGGUUGU
rnacentral:rRNA from 1 species